AUUGAAACACCAGUUCCCAUAAGAUCACCAAAGUUAAGCAAUGUUGAGCCCAGUCAGUACCUAAAUGGGUGACCACUUAGGAAUACCAGGUGCUAUA